GUUGAGGGCAAUGACCACUAGCAGCCCCACUUUGCCUUCAGCUCAGAAAUAUGCAAAUGCUAAAUACAAUGGAGUAAUCUAUUCCCAGGAUUCAAAACCUUCAAAAAGUGGUUCAUCGGAGACCAUCCGUAUUACUGUCCAGG